rnacentral:lncRNA from 1 species
AGAUUUAUGGAUCAAAACCCUCCCUUUUUAUAUUUUCCUUCUCUCGAAACCCAAACCCCUCUUUCUCUCUCUAAUAUUUGGCCUCGCUUUUGGGUGGCGGCUGAAACUCUCACUCCACAUACCCGUUGUCUCCCUCUAGGGUUUUACAAAUCUCUCCUCCAUUUUUGAAGAUCUAUCUUGUGUUAUGGCAGCUGUUGCUCCUUCUGCUGAUCGUAUCCUUAUAGAUUUUACUUAUAUGGGUAUUCGUUGUUUUUUUCCUUGUUCAAAUCGACCCUAAGUUUUGAUUUUUACAUGCUUUGUGAAGAUAUGCAUUAGAUAUAGGUAUAUCUAUGUUUUAUGGGUAGAAUUUUUAUGUGAGUCUAUUUGGAUUCUUUAGAUCUGGGUUAUUGUGUUAUGCGUUGCUGUUAUUUGCUUGAUUUUUUUUAUUGGUUUUGGUUUUGUUUGGUGAGUGAUUUAUGUGUUGUAGUCUGUUGAGAGCCUCAGCUUUGAAAAAUCAUCUGUGUUUUUCUAUUUUUUAAAAUUGGUUUGUUCGUGUGUUUAUGGUGUAUAUAGGCUGUUUGAGUUUUUUUUAAAUAAAAAAAUGUUUUGCAGCUGGUAUAUGUUAGAAAAUUUUGUAGCUGAGUUGGUGAUAUAUAACUUGGUGUUUUCUAUUAACAACAGUAGAAAUUUGGUUUGGUUUUGGUUUAAUAUUUCUUUGCUAAAUUCUUUAAUUAUUUGGAAUUGCGGAUUUGAAGAGUUUAUGGGCUAAUUUUAGUAAAUUUACAUAAUUCCAAAAGAUGUGUGUUGUUCAGUACAAAUCGAUUGAUAUGCUGGAAUUGUUCUUGGCCUAGUUUGUUACUGUGUUUUUGGGCUAAUUUGUGUGAAAAAGUGCUAUUCCUUUACAUUUACUGCUAUAGAAGCUGCAGAUUUGCUGCAGAAGUUGUCAUUGGAUUCUCAAAAUAAGUCACUUGAAAUUGCAGAGCCAAAGAAAAAGGUACUCCUUUAGUGUUUUUUUAAAAAUUCUUUUAUUUUGGUCAAUUGCUCUAAAGUUCUUAAUUUGAAAUUCUGAUAUUUUUUCAGCCUGUGUACUCCAAAGACGUGGGAAAUGGUCAGAUCCAGCCAGUGGAUCGGUCAGUUACCCCUCUUUUGCCGGACUUCAUGGAUCCAACUUUGUGCUAUGUUCCUAAUGGAUAUCCCUCAUACUAUUAUGGUAUUGUUGAUAUCAUCUGAAUUGAAUUUAUGGCUUCACUUUGUGUCAGAACAGCCUAUAUGUACCUCUGUUAGGAUUUUGCUAAAACAAAUGUACAUCUGUUAGGAUAAUGAUGUUUUAUUUCUUUACAAUAUAGCACAUCACUUGGUUCAUACUGACAUUCCUUUUUAUACUGACAUUCUUUUCUAUUCUCCUAUAGGGUAUGAUGGUUCUGGUAAUGAAUGGGAGGACUAUACAAGAUAUGUGAACCCAGAGGGAGUUGAGAUGACUGUAAGUUAUUCUGCUUGCGACGCUAGCUACAGCACUUGAUGUCUUAAUCUAUUUACUGGAUUCAAUAUUUGGUGUCACGUUGAUUUUGUUUAUUAUUUAUGUAUUUUGGUUUUGAUAUGAUGAAAACACAGGGAGCUUAUGGGGACAACGGGUCAUUUAUGUAUCAGCAUGGCUAUGGUUAUGCACCCUAUAGUCCAUAUUCACCUGCUACUUCCCCUGUCCCGACUGUGGGGCAUGACGGCCAGCUUUAUGGAGCACAACACUACCACUAUCCAUAUUUCCAGCCCCUCCCUCCAACCAGUACUCCAUACACUACUCCAGUUGCCCCGCCAAAAGGUGAGAUCGCCACCUCUGCUGCUGCUGACCAAGCACCAUUGUCUGUGGAUUCUGCUAAUGGAAAUUCUAAUGGCGUUGCAAAUGGUGGUGUAAAGGGAAAUACCGCGCCUACGCCUGUGAGGCCUGCAUUCCAGAAUUCNNNNN